rnacentral:rRNA from 1 species
AUUGGGUGUAAAGGGUGAGUAGGCGGUAAUCAAAGUUAAUCAUUAAAUCUUAGUAGCAAUUACUAAAUCAAUUUUUAAUAACAAAUUACUAGAGUAAAAAAGAGGAUUGUAGAAUUUCAAGUGGAGAAAUAAAAUUCGUAGAUUUUUGAAGGAAUAUCGAAAGCGAAGGCAACAAUCUGGUUUUAUACUGACGCUGAUUCACGAAAGCCUAGGUAGCAACCGGGAUUAGAGACCCCGUUAGUCUAGGCUGUAAACGAUGAGUACUCAUUUUUGGAUAGAACAUAUUCAGAAAUUUAGCUAACGCGUUAAGUACUCCACCUGAGGAGUACAGUGGCAACACUGAAACUCAAAGGAAUUGACGGGGAUUUAUACCAUUCGUGGAAUAUGUGGUUUAAUUCGUAAAUACACGCAAAACCUUACCAACUUUUGAAUGAUUUUAUAUUCUAAUGAAGAAAUUUGUUAUGUUAAAAAUUACAGGUACUGCAUGGCUGUCGUCAGCUCGUGUCUUGAGAUGUUAGGUUUAGUCCAGUAACGAGCGAAACCCUUUUUCUUUGUUGCAAAAGACAAUUUGUUCAUUUAUAUUAAUUGAACUGUGUUUGUGUACUUAAAGAGUAUUGCCUAUGAUAUAUAGGAUGAAAGAAAGGAUGACGUCAAGUCUUCAUGGUCCUUAUAAGUUGGGCUACACAUGUAUUACAAGGGUAACUACAAUAAGAUGCAAUAAUGA